rnacentral:rRNA from 1 species
GACGAACGCUGGCGGCGUGCCUAAUACAUGCAAGUCGAACGCAGUGGGGACGGGUGAGUAACACGUGGGUAACCUCCCAUCAGAGGGGAUAACACUUGGAAACAGGUGCUAAACCGAUACUGAUGGAUGGACCCGCGGUGCAUUAGCGAGUUGGUGAGGUAACGGCUCACCAAGGCCACGAUGCAUAGCCUACCGGAGAGGGUCACAGGCCCAACGGGAACGGCGACACGGCCCAGACUCCUACGGGAGGCAGAAGUAGGGAAUCUUCGGCAAUGGACGAAAGUCUGACCGAGCAACGCCGAGUGGGUGAAGAAGGUUUUCGGAGCGUAAAACUCUGUUGGUAGGGAAGCGGUAUCUAACCAGAAAGCCACGGCUAACUACGUUCCAGCAGCCGCGGUAAUUC